AUGCCUCCACCGUCAUCGUUGGCCAAUGUGCCGUGUCACCCGUGUGAACCAGCGUAUCGAAGACGGUGCAUAUUUGGCGGUCGAGUCCAUGUGAACGAUGUCGUCUUCCGCCUUCAGGUUGAUUUCCCGGCGCCGGACGAGUUCCCUGUCCCGGUGCUCAAGUGGAGGAGCAAGUCCUCCUCGGGGUCCACGUCCUCGUCGCCGCCCGACCUUCCGGACAACUCCGCCAGCAGCCUCGAGCGAAGCGCGCGGGCCGACGAGACCCCCGCUGGCGAACCGGAAGCCGUGCUGAGCCGCGCGGAGCGUCGGCUGCUCGAGCUCUUCAUCGUGCUUAUCGUCGUCCUCAUCCUGUCCUCGUGCUACCUGGCGUUCCGCGUGUGCACCCUGGAGGAGCAGCUGUCCUUCCUCAACACCAAGCUGGCCCAGCAUGUAAGGGAGAGGUGAGGACCCCCGGACCCCGGCGCUUCGGACGCUAGGCGGCAGCGGCAAGCGCCGCGCCCUGCGACCGCCGAAUCCGUACUGCGGCAGUACGUCGAAAUGGCUGCGGAUCCAGCUCCGAUCGUCUUCUGCCGAAGGUGCGACGAAGAGAUGCCGAGGUGUUAUUUUAGGACGUUUUCAUGUUUCGUUUAGGCGUUCGUACUGUUAGGCUGGAAGAAAGAUGUCACGGUCCACCCGCUUUCGUCUUGACGUACGUCGGCGCCCUUCGCGAGGCUCUGAGCUCGGCACCGCGUCUCAUCCGUAGCAGAACCGUGCCAUCCGUGCCAUCCGUUCUGGAGAACUGGGGGGAUUCGGGCAGUUUUUAUAGUCACGUGCGUCUCUGUGUCCUCCCAGGUAACCCCUGCUCCUGGCUGCACCCCCCAGGAAGUCCCGCCUCAGAGGACACGCCCCCGCGUGCACUAACUACGGGGCUCCGCACGGCGAAUGCUGAGACGGAGCGGGCCAUCUGAGGGCACCCGGAGAUCCACGGCUGGACAAAAAUUCCCAACGGAAAAGCAUCUUAAGGAGCGGCAGGAGCCUAUAGGUCUGGGUGCCACCGCGGCGUCGGAUCCAGACCCCAGUCUACAACCGGUGUUCUUCUCAGCCGAUGGCUCACGUGUCAAUGACCUUGGCGAUCGCGGCCAUCCGUGCGCUCAUCAAUAUUGCGAAAAGGCAUCUGAGAACAUGUCGAUCUUCAGGGACGUGGGAUUCGUCAGUCCAGCGGCUUCGGAAUUUAGAGACCGAUCUGAACUUUUCACGACGGCUACAGAUUGAAAUUUGGGAUACGUCUGCACUUUUGUCAUACUGCUUUUCCCCUUCUGCUCUUACAACACAUAAACAUCUACUAUUGUUUCAUUCAUCCAUCUUUCUUCAAGUUAGAAAUCUGCCGUUUGACCGACGUAUUUUCUCACCAUCCUCUACCACGUGCCAUCAGGAGCACCGUGGGGUGGGGGGCAACAAGUCUGCA
rnacentral:lncRNA from 1 species